rnacentral:tRNA from 1 species
GUAGUGCAGUGGUUAGCACUCUGGACUUUCAAUCCAGCGUCUCGGGUUCGAAUCCCGAUCG